AUCCUUUUGAGGUUCAUAAGCAUGAGGAUUGAAUUUUCACACUAAUGUGUGAGAUACGCCUCUCUCAAACCUUGUUACCUUGUCAUCACAUUACAGUCUGACA